AUCGUAUAUAAUCUCCGUCGAAGAAAACAGAAGGAAUGCCAUGUCAUCGUAUCAGACUUCAUUUGCCAUGCAUGUAGUACAUAUCUGUUUAUUAUCUGUGGAAUUGCCCCCAGUCAUCUAAGUACAUAGUUAACCAAGCAUGAGUAGAAGCUUAUUUAUUGCUCGAUGUUUAUCGGAUUCGGGUUCGUGUUUGGCUCCUGGCGACGGAUCCAGUUCGGAUUCCUCAUGUUGAAUGCGCAGGACGACGUGGCAUUUUCGGUCCUGUCGCGUGCUAUCUCUCGAACCUUCGAUCCCGGCCACCGCCGCUGCCCUCUUUUAACUCCUCGAAUCAGAAGUGCCCAAUCCCCUUCCUCUAUUCGAACGAGACUCGUGCUGCAACGGCGUCCGUGCUGGUACUGUUCUAUCGAUCCUCGACCUUUUGUGUUCUCCUGGUGUUCGAAGCUAUUGCGAUCGCUGAUCUGGAUCCUCGAUGCGAUGUCUGCAGCAGCCCUCAGGUCAUACUGCUGAACGAGGGGGACAACACGUCCCAGGGGAAGGCACAGAUGACGAGCAACAUCAAGAUGGAAACCAAAGUGCCUGGGAUCUCCUCGACAUCGUCCAUACCGCCGCCAAGAUCAUGGAUCUCCUCGACAUCCAUGAUCUUGGAUCUCCUCGACAUCGUCAACAUCAAGAUGGAAACCAACGCCACAAAUCAUGGAUCUCCUCGACAUCGUCCAUACCACCGCCAAGAUCCUCGUCGGCGGUUGCCAAGUCGCAAGACUCCGAGGUAACUUGCCCGGCCUGGGAUCACGAACGAACGGUAGGGCACGAGCAAAAGGUGCCAACGCCUGAAGAUCAAGAUGGAAACCAAAGUGUGUUUAUGUCAACAAGAACCCAUCGAUUGAUCAAGAAAGCAACGAACUGCUGAUCCGGGUUUAACCGCUGUCAGAUGGAUCAUGGAUGCAUCUCGCAUCAGCAGUUUUCUUAUGCACACAACGGUGACUUCUUGUAAGUAGCUUUGGGUACCGACUACAGAGUCACACACUCUGAACCUUGUACAGGUGGGUGAUGGAACUACUACCACUGUAGUUCUUGCUGGGUGAGCUCUCUCCGAAGAGGCUAAAACCUGUUCUUGGAGAUGGGAGUCCUUUCACAGAGUCUAAUCCGAAGUUGCAGGACUGCAGUCAGUAUCUCACUGCUCUCUCUCUCUCUCUCUCUCUUUCUUGGUAAUGAAUGCUCAUUGAAUUGAAUAACGUGUUUUACAUGGCAUUAACAAAAAAUAAAGAAGUAGGCCUCACCGUAGAAGCGAUGGGCCUUUCGAGGAAAGCAAUCAUUCUGGGGGGGGGCGUUCCAUUGGCUGACACAGGAGAACUGGCAGAAGCGAUGAGAGGGACGCAUCGGGAAGAGUCCUCCUAAUUGGAUCUCCCAAGAGGCCAGACAAUAGCUUCAAAGAAAAUGAUUCAACCUAUAAUGAAAUCACAGUACCAAAACCAGAGAAGAUGACGCCCUUGGCCCUUCACAUCACGUUGGCGUUUAUAGGAAUGAAGCUGUGUACAUUAAUUCUUUACCGAUCCCUGCGGUAAAGAAUUGUCUUACCAAUGACCAAUGGUGUAUUGUCUCAAGUAGCCCAAAGCCUUUGUCUGGGGGUCUAAUGGAGUCGAUCAUCUAACCUGUAACUCUUUUCCGUGAGUUCCUCAUUUCUCGUUCCUAUACUGCAAGCUGAAACUUGUAGGACUUGCUAUUUCAGUAUUUUUCUUAAUCUUAAAAGAUUGCUAUCCCAUAA